GUUUUGGCUUCCUCCCUCUCUAACCUUUUUUUUUUUUUUUCUUUCCUUCCCCUCCCCCAUGAUCUUCUGUUAAGUUUCUCAGGAUCCACAUAAGAGUGAAAACAUAUGGUAUCUUUCUCUGUAUGACUUAUUUCACUUAACAUAACACUCUCCAGUUCCAUCCAUGUUGCUACAAAGGGCCAUAUUUCAUUCUUUCUCAUUGCCACAUAGUAUUCCAUUGUGUAUAUAAACCACAAUUUCUUUAUCCAUUCGUCAGUUGAUGGACAUUUAGGCUCUUUCCACAAUUUGGCUAUUGUUGAAAGUGCUGCUAUAAACAUUGGGGUACAAGUGCCCCUAGGCAUCAGCACUCCUGUAUCCCUUGGGUCAAUUCCUAGCAGUGCUAUUGCUGGGUCAUAGGGUAGAUCUAUUUUUAAUUUUUUGAGGAACCUCCACCCUGUUUUCCAGAGCGGCGGCACCAGUUUGCAUUCCCACCAACAGUGCAAGAGGGCUCCCGAUUCUCCACAUCCUCGCCAGCAUCUACAGUCUCCUGGUUUGUUCAUUUUAGCCACUCUGAUUGGUGUGAGAACUUUCAACUAGUAUGUAAAUAAGUUCUGGAGAGUAACACCCAGGAUAGGAUUACAGUUAACAAUACUGCAUUGUAAACUUCAAAGUUGCUACGAGACUAGAUCUUCAUUGUUGUCACCAUAAAAAAGAAAUGGUAAUUACGGGAUCCCGAUGGAGGUGUUAGCUAAGCUGAGAUGGUCUUUGCCCUGCAGUAAAUAAAUGUAUCAAACCAACAGGCAUACCUUAAACUUACACAAUGCUAUAUGUCAAUCACAGGUCGGUAAGAUAAAUACAUUAAAACAGAAAAGGGUCGCCUCUAACUGUGUUGGGUCAAGACAAAAACAAGCUCGCUUUGCAAUCUUGUCUAAACACAGCCGGAACAUAAGCGUUGUCCAAGCCACAAACAGGACCAAACGAUUCCUUUUCCUGGCUACCACGAGUGACUGCUUUUCUAUACCAAUCCCAGCUUCAGGCUUGGUUUGCUUUUGCCACCUUCUAGAGGAGACGAAUUACAAUAAUCAUAAAAUACUCCCACUUCCUGACGGUAUCCAAUCCAGAGCAAAGCCCGGCUUUGCUGAACUCUUCCCCAAAUCGCUUAACACGAGCCCAAGUCCCACUGUGCCCCGCUCCCAACACCCCUUUACCGAGCUACUUCAUGACUGCCCACGGGGUGUGCGCUCCCUUGUCGCACGGAGUCAGUAAGCCUACCCUUCUCCGCGGCAGGUGGCUUCGGGCGUCUUUGGUUCUUGUCGGGAUCAACGAGUUUUGAUCCACUGGAUCGAGUGUCCGCUGGAAUCGUGACUGCUGCGGUCUAGACGCUUGGGUCCAUUCCCUUCUCUUUCGGUAAUAGCACUCAAUACUUUCACGUGGGCGCCACAUCUCCUGCACUCUCGAGUCACGUGCUUUGGUUUCCAGCCCCAGGAGGAGACAUGUGACUGAGACCUGUCCAAUCAGCGAGUCCCAUCCCCUGGCUGCAGUGAUUGGUUCAGGGAGAGCAUGUGACGCCAGUUGGUCCAAUCAGAGCACAUCCUAGGAGUCGAGCGUGGGGGGCGGCCCGGAGGAGAGCCCCUCCAUCUUCCAGAAGACGCUGGCGGGCUGUUGUUGGCGCCUGCUGGGGGAGACACCGAACGCGGCCUGGGGAAUGGAAGGACACGGUGAGAAGAUGGCCAUCUGCAGACCAGGAAGAGCCAGCCCCUCACCAGACACCAGAUGUGCCGGCACCUUGACCUUGGACUUCAGCCUCCAGAACCUCCCUGCGCUGAGCCCUGGAGCUACGGAGAUGAUUAAGACGUGGUUUCCACCUUAAGGUGUGCAGCACAGUGCAGCGAUGGAGGGGACCACUCAGUGCAAUACGACCUCAGCUUCAGUCCCUCUUGCACUGAGUGGAUGUUGGAUCGAGCCCACAAGUCCCUUGCAAAUUUUAGAACUCUGGAUCUGACCACAGAAGCACGGGAGUCCUCUGGGCACCCAUCACUGAAGGCAGAAUGUUUUGACCAUGACCCCUGCGCCCAGCACUGUGGUUGAAUGUGACCCGUGUGAAUCCUUCAUCAGUUCAUGAAUCACUGCAUUUUACCUGCCAUACGACCCUCAUUUCUGCCAUCUUACAUGCCACUGCUCAGUGACCCAUGCCAGUCGGUAAGGAUCUGGUGAAAAUUAUUUACAAAAUGGGUGCUUUUGUAAAUUGCCAAUAGCUGUGAAAUUUGGUGCAAGCUUUUAGGGGGAAAAUAAAGUUGGAAAUGAAAUCAAGAA